UGGGACAAUGCACGCUCACCCCUUGAAGGCAAACUUGUGGCUUGGUGAUCCAGGGGUUGGAAAAGAGGCUGUUCACUGCCUUGGUCAAGAGGAGCUGGGAUGUGCUCGUCUUCACACCAGGAAGAAGGUUUUUCCAGCAUAACCAGGAUGACACUUGCACUUGUUUGGCCCGAUACAUUCACCAUGUUUGCAUCGUGGUUGGCACACAGCUGUGAAAAGAAGAUGGCAUGCAUUAUUUCUAGGUCAACGAAACACCAAUCAUAUAGCACUGAUGUCGUGCACUAGUUUAAUAAUAAAAGAAAAAAUACCAGAACUUACAACAAAGUAGCCAAAGUAUACAAAAUCAGUUUCCUAUAAACACUCUGUAAGCUACACACACACACAUGUGUUAUGUAUGUAUAUGUGUGUAUCAGUUGGGGCUGAAAAAAAUUUUAAAUUCAAGGACAAUACUCAAAUAGACAAAUAAAACUAGGUAAAACUA
rnacentral:antisense_RNA from 1 species